rnacentral:rRNA from 1 species
UACGGAGGGUGCAAGCGUUAUCCGGAUUUACUGGGUUUAAAGGGUGUGUAGGCGGGCUUUUACGUCCGUGGUGAAAUCUCCGGGCUCAACCUGGAAACUGCCAUUGAUACUAUUAGUCUUGAAUUCUGUUGAGGUAGGCGGAAUAAGUCAUGUAGCGGUGAAAUGCGCAGAUAUCAGGAGGAACACCGGUGGCGAAGGCGGGUCUCUGGGCAGUAACUGACGCUGAGGAGCGAAAGCGUGGGGAGCGAACAGG